rnacentral:rRNA from 1 species
GACGAACGCUGGCGGCGUGCUUAACACAUGCAAGUCGGGGGGCCUUUCGGGGUCACCGGCGGACGGGUGCGUAACACGUGAGCGACCUGCCCUGGAGUGGGGGAUAGCCGGCCCAACGGCCGGGUAAUACCGCAUACGCCACCGGAGAGGCAUCUCUCGGGUGGGAAACCCGCAAGGGGCUCGUGGAGGGGCUCGCGGCCUAUCAGCUAGUUGGCGAGGUAACGGCUCACCAAGGCGAUGACGGGUAGCUGGUCUGAGAGGAUGGCCAGCCACAUUGGGACUGAGACACGGCCCAGACUCCUACGGGAGGCAGCAGUGGGGAAUCUUGCGCAAUGCGCGAAAGCGUGACGCAGCAACGCCGCGU